rnacentral:rRNA from 1 species
UCCAGCUCCAAUAGCGUAUAUWAAAGUUGUUGCAGUUAAAAAGCUCGUAGUUGAACCUUGGGUCUGGCUGGCCGGUCCGCCUCACCGCGAGUACUGGUCCGGCUGGACCUUUCCUUCUGGGGAACCUCAUGGCCUUCACUGGCUGUGGGGGGAACCAGGACUUUUACUGUGAAAAAAUUAGAGUGUUCAAAGCAGGCCUUUGCUCGAAUACAUUAGCAUGGAAUAAUAGAAUAGGACGUGCGGUUCUAUUUUGUUGGUUUCUAGGACCGCCGUAAUGAUUAAUAGGGAUAGUCGGGGGCGUCAGUAUUCAGCUGUCAGAGGUGAAAUUCUUGGAUUUGCUGAAGACUAACUACUGCGAAAGCAUUCGCCAAGGAUGUUUUCAUUAAUCAGGGAACGAAAGUUAGGGGAUCGAAGACGAUCAGAUACCGUCGUAGUCUUAACCAUAAACUAUGCCGACUAGGGAUCGGGCGGUGUUUCUAUGAUGACCCGCUCGGCACCUUACGAGAAAUCAAAGUUUUUGGGUUCUGGGGGGAGUAUGGUCGCAAGGCUGAAACUAAAGAAAUGACGAAGGCCCCCMMGGUGGC